rnacentral:rRNA from 1 species
GUAACAAGGUCUCCGUUGGUGAACCAGCGGAGGGAUCAUUACCGAGUUUACAACUCCCAAACCCCUGUGAACAUACCUUAUGUUGCCUCGGCGGAUCAGCCCGCGCCCCGUAAAAAGGGACGGCCCGCCGCAGGAACCCUAAACUCUGUUUUUAGUGGAACUUCUGAGUAUAAAAAACAAAUAAAUCAAAACUUUCAACAACGGAUCUCUUGGUUCUGGCAUCGAUGAAGAACGCAGCAAAAUGCGAUAAGUAAUGUGAAUUGCAGAAUUCAGUGAAUCAUCGAAUCUUUGAACGCACAUUGCGCCCGCCAGUAUUCUGGCGGGCAUGCCUGUUCGAGCGUCAUUUCAACCCUCAAGCCCAGCUUGGUGUUGGGAGCUGCAGUCCUGCUGCACUCCCCAAAUACAUUGGCGGUCACGUCGAGCUUCCAUAGCGUAGUAAUUUACAUAUCGUUACUGGUAAUCGUCGCGGCCACGCCGUUAAACCCCAACUUCUGAAUGUUGACCUCGGAUCAGGUAGGAAUACCCGCUGAACUUAAGCAUAUCAAUAAGCCCG